rnacentral:rRNA from 1 species
AAUGGGCGAAAGCCUGACGGAGCAAGACCGCGUGCGGGAGGAAGGUCUAUUGAUUGUAAACCGCUUUUGAUAGGGAAGAAGAUCUGACGGUACCUAUCGAAUCAGCAUCGGCUAACUCCGUGCCAGCAGCCGCGGUAAUACGGGGGAUGCAAGCGUUAUCCGGAAUUAUUGGGCGUAAAGCGUCCGUAGGUGGUUUUAUAAGUCUGUUGUCAAAUCGCGAGGCUUAACCUCGUACAGGCAGUGGAAACUAUAAGACUAGAGUGCGGUAGGGGUAGAGGGAAUUUCCAGUGUAGCGGUGAAAUGCGUAGAUAUUGGAAAGAACACCGGUGGCGAAGGCGCUCUACUGGGCCUGCACUGACACUGAGGGACGAAAGCUAGGGGAGCGAAAGGGAUUAGAUACCCC